AUAUGAUCGUAAGUUAAUAACUAGUUAAAAAUUAAUGAGAAAGAUGCCAAAGGAGGCUGUGGCUUGAAUUUCUUCAUACAUUUUUGUGCUCACUUGGAAUAAUUCAUUCAGUUUACCAUUUCAGUUUGAAUGUCUUCAUAAAGAUUUAUGGUUUAAUUUUUAAAUUGAGGGACAGCGUGUUUUCCUCUAGAGCUGGCAAAGCAAACCUCGAGUUCAAGCCUUGAUAUUCAGACCCCACCGCCAGGCCCAUCACUACCACCGACUUUUAACCACAUCCCCUAAAAGCGGGGAACAAAGACGACGAGUAUGAGCGCUGAAAAGGCCAGUGUUCAGAGGGCUGACAGCGUCACACGUCCCAGGAGGGUUAGCACAGACCCCCGUGCUUUCCUUCCCAUUCUUCUCCCCAUCACCUCUCCCCUCCCGGCACGCACAUCAGUCCCACUUAUUCAAAAUGACCCCCAGUCUCUGCAGAGAACAUUUAGAUGAUCAAGAGGCUGGACAGGGUCCAGCAGGAAGAAGCCUCAAACUGGGCAAACGAACUGGGCUGAAAUGUCUCCCAGAGCUGCUGGCAGGCUGUUGAGACCCACCAUUUACUGAAAGACACUUGGAAACUUCUUGCACCACGGAGGUCUGGCGCCUCAUGCACACUUCGUGACCUGCACGGCACACGACUGUGAUCGCCCCGUCACUCGUUCACAGGCCCCGCGGGUCCCCGAGGCGGCGGCUGCUCCCAGACCCGCCCAAAGCUUAGGCGGGAUGAGCAAUGUUUUCCAGCCGGGCUGGGCUGCAUGUGGUGACUCACGGAAGACUCUGGAUAGGGAGGCAGCUCAGGACUCCACUUUAUGAUGGCGGUGUCCCCGCGAGAACGGGCAUGGAGGGAGGCCUGCCACUCUCUAGAUGGUUGGAAGCCUGAGGAACGAACACAGAGAGGCAGCGAGACUCCCUGAGUUGAUUUAACCCUGGGUGUGACUGGACCAGGCUUGUUCAGGUCACAGGUGACUCUUACAAGGUCAUCCAUUGGCCUGAAGAGGGCAGUGCAGAGGAGGUGUAUGCAACGUGGUGCCCACCCUUCCCUGCUGCCCCAUUCAUACGAUCCUGAUGCCAGGAGCACAGAACCCCAGGGUACCCACACGCCCGGGAAUCCAGUGAGAUUCAAGCGUGAUACACCGGCACUGAGUAACUGGGGGCACCAAUGGCCCCUAAAGGCCACGCUAAACACAGAAAGAAGACAACAGAGUUCUAAGAAAACACAGAAGAUGAAGAAACCCUAUCCUAUUCUUUCUAACUUGUGUUACUUCCCUGUAUUAGCCAAGCACUUACUCUGAAAAUGAUGACAUAGAAGGAAAAACAGAAGUGGUUGGCUAAUACACUAGUGCGGACUGUUCUGGAAGAAAACCAGUAGAACUCCAGCCUGUAACUCCGAAAGCCUCAGUUUCUUGCUUUGUUCCUAUCCCUUGACUUUUUCUCCUUUUCCUCUAUCAACAGAGCAGCAGGGCAACCACCUAAGCUGUGUGCAGUGGUCUAUCUCGCUGUGGAUGUCUGUCCAGAACUGAGUGUCAUCUUCCUGGACUCUGGCCCCUCCGGCCUCCUUUCCUAAGAUGUCACAAGAAAGAGCCCCCUCAGUUUGAUGUUCUCUCCUCUAAAGCAGCAAUUCUCCAACUUCUUCAGUUCCCCCGGGACCAUUUUGAGACGAAAACAAGGAACAUCUACCCCGGAGCUGGGAAGAAGACUUAUUUUUCACUGUAUACCCUUUUUCAUAUUUAAAUGUCUUACCAUGUGUAUAGAUGACCUAUAAAAUGUGUCCACUAGGUAUAUUUUUAGAAUCACCUAUUCUCAGUUGUUUCAACAAACAAAACAAACAAGUCAAACCUCUUGCAUGAAUAGCAAAGAAAAAAAAUCAGCUUCUGGAGUUGAGACUAAUAAGAACUACGGAAAGUGAGCGAUAAUUCGUCCCAGAAUAGAGUAUAAUGUCUUCUCAAAGAGUGGCAUCAAAAUGUCAGGGCCAGUCAUCAUUUCUUUCUUGAGAAUAACUGGCAUGUCACAGCUCCCUGGACCCCAGUGUGGAAGCAAGUCUCACAGAGGUCCCUCUGCCCCGAGUUGGGACAGUGCCCUGGCCAGCCUUUGGGGACCUCCCCCUGGCCAGCCUUCCUGCCUCUCCACCCCCUCCUUUCUCAACAGCUGCUUCUCAAGCCCGUGUAGGGACAGGAAGCCGGGCACGCGGGGAGCACAGUUGGGUGUGGAAGGGCAGAGCACCACGGGCUUCUUCUUCCUUCUUCCUGUUGUGCUUUAGCAACUCUCCACACUGACUCAUGCAUGGACUGGUUAGAGAAUAAAAACUGUUGGAGCCAGAAAAGAGCUGAAGACACUUAUUUCCACCCCGAGGAGAGCAGAACUCCCAAAGACACAUGGCAGUGCUACAGAGCAAGGACCCCGGGCACCGUGCUCCUGGCCAAGUUCUCUCCCAACAGCAUGUAUUUGUCCAAGACCAACUUUUGUCCAGAAACAAGAAGACUGUUCUGUUGUUUCUAUUUCCAUACUACAGCUCGUAAUAUUUAAAGACAGAACACUUCUAUAAGCAUCAG